rnacentral:rRNA from 1 species
UACGUAGGUGGCGAGCGUUGUCCGGAUUUACUGGGCGUAAAGAGCGCGCAGGCGGCUGGUCAAGUCCGAUGUGAAAGCUCCCGGCUUAACUGGGAAAUUGCAUCGGAAACUGAUCGGCUGGAAGGUGGGAGAGGGUAGCGGAAUUCCCGAUGUAGUGGUGAAAUGCGUAGAUAUCGGGAGGAACACCAGUGGCGAAAGCGGCUACCUGGCCCAUUCUUGACGCUGAGGCGCGAAAGCUAGGGGAGCAAACGGG